AAUGUUGGAAUGACUCUCGGCAACGGAUAUCUCGGCUCUCGCAUCGAUGAAGAACGCAGCGAAAUGCGAUACGUGGUGUGAAUUGCAGAAUCCCGUGAACCAUCGAGUUUUUGAACGCAAGUUGCGCCCGAGGCCAUCUGGCCGAGGGCACGCCUGCCUGGGCGUCAGUU
rnacentral:rRNA from 1 species